UACGUAGGGUGCGAGCGUUAAUCGGAAUUACUGGGCGUAAAGCGUGCGCAGGCGGUUUUGUAAGUCAGAUGUGAAAUCCCCGGGCUUAACCUGGGAAUGGCAUUUGGGACUGCAAGGCUGGAGUGCGGCAGAGGGGGAUGGAAUUCCGCGUGUAGCAGUGAAAUGCGUAGAUAUGCGGAGGAACACCGAUGGCGAAGGCAAUCCCCUGGGCCUGCACUGACGCUCAUGCACGAAAGCGUGGGGAGCAAACAGG
rnacentral:rRNA from 1 species